CCUACGGGAGGCAGCAGUGGGGAAUUUUCCGCAAUGGGCGAAAGCCUGACGGAGCAAUACCGCGUGAGGGAGGAAGGCUCUUGGGUUGUAAACCUCUUUUCUCAGGGAAGAUAAUGAACGGUACCUGAGGAAUAAGCAUCGGCUAACUCCGUGCCAGCAGCCGCGGUAAUACGGAGGAUGCAAGCGUUCUCCGGAAUGAUUGGGCGUAAAGCGUCCGCAGGUGGUUUUGAAAGUCUGCUGUUAAAGCGUGCGGCUUAACCGCAUAAGGGCAGUGGAAACUAUGAGACUAGAGUGCGUUUAGGGGCAGAGGGAAUUCCCAGUGUAGCGGUGAAAUGCGUAGAGAUUGGGAAGAACACCGGUGGCGAAGGCGCUCUGCUAUACCGUAACUGACACUGAGGGACGAAAGCUAGGGGAGCGAAUGGGAUUAGAUACCCCAGUAGUCCUAGCCGUAAACGAUGGAUACUAGGCGUUGUCUGUAUCGACCCGGACAGUGCCGUAGCUAACGCGUUAAGUAUCCGCCUGGGGAGUACGCGNGCGACUGUGAACGUACAANAGAGUAGUAACGGUCGUGUUAGAGUGCGACGGACGACGACGAGGGAGGAGG
rnacentral:rRNA from 1 species